UACAGAGGUCUCAAGCGUUGUUCGGAUUCAUUGGGCGUAGAGGGUGUGUAGGUGGCGCGCUAAGUCGGGUGUGAAAUUUCGGAGCUUAACUCCGAAACUGCAUUCGAUACUGGCGUGCUUGAGGACUGGAGAGGAGACUGGAAUUUACGGUGUAGCAGUGAAAUGCGUAGAUAUCGUAAGGAAGACCAGUGGCGAAAGGCGGGUCUCUGGACAGUUCCUGACACUGAGACACGAAGGCCAGGGGAGCAAACGGG
rnacentral:rRNA from 1 species